UGGUUAUCACCAAAGCUGUUCAGCUGCAGUCUAUGAUUGGCUGUAGACUCGACCAGAAGAAAAACCUCCCACUAGGUUUCUCUUUGCCACCUUGCUAGCAUUCAACCAGUUGGGAAUGUUU
rnacentral:snoRNA from 1 species